AGUUGUAGGUGCAGCUGGGAUGCGCGUCUCCGGGGCACGCCCUGAGAGCCGCUGUCGCCUGCAGUGACCCCCCACCCCCACCCCCAGCCUGGCCUGCUCUCCCAAAACACCCGCCCGUGCCCAGAAAGUCUUGGAUACUCCGUCUGGAGCAGCCCGUCGGCCUGGAGGGGAGCGGUCGUGCCUCCGGCACCCGGACAGGCAGCAGAGCAGAGCAGGCACAGGACCGGCCGGAGGAGGGACCCCAGCCUCGCCCCCAUGCCCUGCUGCACGGUGAGGAUACAGCAAAAUGGUGACCAUCUGCAGACCAGCAACCACGCUCUCAUCAGACACCAAACCUGCUUGUACCUUGACAUGGUUUGGAUUUGUGGCCCUGCCCAAAUCUUAUGUGGAACUGUAAUCCCCAAUGUUGGAGGAGGAGGAGGCUGGGGGGAGGUGAUUGGACCGCGGGGGUGGACUUCCCGCUUGCUGUUCUCGUGAUAGUGAUGAGUACUCAUGAGACCUGGUUGUUUAAAAGUGUGUAGCUCCUCCCUCUGGCCUCUCUUCCUCCUGCUCCAGCCAUGUAAGACUUGCCUCCUUCCCCUUCGCCUUCCGCCACGAUUGUAAGUUUCCUGAGGCCUCCCAGCCAUGCUUCCUGUACAGCCUGCGGAACGGGAUUUUGAAGUGGCUGCACCCUGGCCUGGCCUGUAGAGGCCCUCGGGCAGUCCUCCCCUGCCAGCAUCGAUGGCGCCCUGGGGCUGCUCUGCUACCCUCCACAGAUGACCAAUAUCUGUGGGGCCCCCACCUCAUGACCCAGAAAGCACACCUUCAGAGAGCUUGGGGCCCCCAGCACAGCCCUGGUGACGAGACCCCAGCAUGUCAGGACCAGAAGUGUCUCUGGAAACAGCCACCUCUGGAACCUCUGGAGUGUUUUCAAUGCCUGCUGCUUUCUUUUCCCCCCCCACAUAUAAGUAAUAAGCAACGAUUCGAAAGCAAGCAAAUGUGGUUUGUGCAUUAGACAGGAUUUGAGCAUGAGCCGCGCUCGGGCCUGGAUCCUUUUUUCGCCAUUCCAUUCAUAUGCCUUUUUUGAGGGGGCCUGGAUCCUUUUUUCAGCAUUCCAUUCAUAUGCCUUUUUUGAGGUAUAGUUGUAUUUGGUGUCAAUCAUAAUCCUCAAAGACACAAUCCUGAACUGCAUAAUCCACAAUACUGAAAUCCCUAAACCUAAAAUCCCUCACGUCAGAUUAAAAUCUGAAUGCCAAAAUCCUGAAAGCUG
rnacentral:lncRNA from 10 species